rnacentral:rRNA from 1 species
AACCUGGGAACUGCAUUCGAAACUGGCAGGCUUGAGUCUUGUAGAGGGGGGUAGAAUUCCAGGUGUAGCGGUGAAAUGCGUAGAGAUCUGGAGGAAUACCGGUGGCGAAGGCGGCCCCCUGGACAAAGACUGACGCUCAGGUGCGAAAGCGUGGGGAGCAAACAGGAUUAGAUACCCUGGUAGUCCACGCCGUAAACGAUGUCUACUUGGAGGUUGUGCCCUUGAGGCGUGGCUUCCGGAGCUAACGCGUUAAGUAGACCGCCUGGGGAGUACGGCCGCAAGGUUAAAACUCAAAUGAAUUGACGGGGGCCCGCACAAGCGGUGGAGCAUGUGGUUUAAUUCGAUGCAACGCGAAGAACCUUACCUGGUCUUGACAUCCACAGAAGAAUCCAGAGAUGGAUUUGUGCCUUCGGGAACU